UCUAGUAGCUGGUUUCCUCCGAAGUUUCCCUCAGGAUAGCUGGAGCUCACGUGCGAGUUUUAUCGGGUAAAGCAAAUGAUUAGAGGCAUCGGGGGCGUAACGCCCUCGACCUAUUCUCAAACUUUAAAUAGGUAGGACGGCGCGGCUGCUUCGUUGAGCCGCGUCGCGGAAUCGAGAGCUCCAAGUGGGCCAUUUUUGGUAAGCAGAACUGGCGAUGCGGGAUGAACCGAAAGCCGAGUUACGGUGCCAAAUUGCGCGCUAACCCAGAUCCCACAAAGGGUGUUGGUUGAUUAAGACAGCAGGACGGUGGUCAUGGAAGUCGAAAUCCGCUAAGGAGUGUGUAACAACUCACCUGCCGAAUGUACUAGCCCUGAAAAUGGAUG
rnacentral:rRNA from 1 species